GGUACGGUGGCUCGGUUGGAAUAGGCAGCGGGCUCAUAACCCGUAAGGCGAAAGCCUUCAUCCUGGUUCGAAUCCAGGUCGUACCCCCA
rnacentral:tRNA from 1 species